UUAAUCCUCUAAUUGCCACCUGUCCUCUUAAUAAUCCUCACUAUUGUGAUUUGAGCGGCAAUAGAGAAGCUUCUCACAUACGCUUCUUUUAUAGUCUCUGUCUCUCAUUCUCUCAACUGGGAUUAGGGUUUUUUUGUUUCCAUUGUUCCUCUUCAUCACAUAAUCCCUAUUGAAUCGGAGUUAUUUUUGAUUCUCACAUUUAAUUUAAUUGAGGGUUGUUACAAUCGAAAACCCUAAAUUGAGUCUUUCCUUUCAUCCUUUGCCUCCCAAUUGAAGAACCCUAGAUCUGAUCUCUGUACCUGGUAAGUUUUGUUCGUAUGGUGUAAUCGCAGCCAGUAGCAUCCUCUAAAUCCCCUAUAUGAUACCCAAUUAGGGUUUUAAAUUCUGUGAUUAAACUUUCUAUUGAUGUUACUGUUGUUCAACCUACUUUUCACAUCUGAUGUUCCAAUGAUUAUUCUUCUUCAUAUAAUUCAUUUGUGAAGACGUAGAAGAUGGUUCCAACGAUUUACGUACAAGCAAGAAGGGAAAGCCGCUAUUUCAUUAAACAAUGUAUUUUUUUUAUGUCACUUGGGCUGUUGAUAUAUACAAGAUCCAGUAAGUCAUUGUGUUAAAAGUUGGAAUCUUAUGAGAUAUUGUUUGAUGUUUCUUAUUAAUUUUAAUAAAAACUGUUAAAAGGUCCAACCGCAUGCGGUUGAAGAUCAAGUUGCUUACUUUGGACAAACACCGUCACGUCUUUUGACAGUCCCUCAUAUUAGCAAAAUUGUGAAUGGGAAGUAUACUUUUAUGAAGCUCAGUUAGGUAACCUUCUAUUGUUCUGUAUUAAGCAGUUUUGUUUUUUAUUUGAGAUUUGGGGAAUAGUAUGAGAAAAAGAAUGUAAUUUGCUGUUCAUGUGUUAUUAUUUGUGAAAUUAAGCAUGUUUUCUUGAUUCCAGUUUUGGUACUAGCCAUGAUCACAACUUGUAAUUUUAGUACUUUAGCAUUUUAACUCAUUAUAUUAAAUAUAUGCAGUGCUAAUAUAGAUAAUAGGUUGUUACUAUGUUUUACAUUUUUCCAACCAUUAUUAUAUGAAUACUCUACAGUUCGAACUUGCCAUUAUAUUAAAUAAAUGUCGUGCUAAUUUAGAGAAUAGGUUGUUACUAUGUUUUACAAUUUUUGGACCAUUAUAUGAAUAUUCUACAGUUCGAACUUACCAUUCUGGUGUAAAUGGGUUGCUACCUCUAUAAAUGAAUCACUUUUUUUUUCUCAAGUUUGUGGUUAUAUUUAAUUGGGAGUCUCUGGUUUGCAACUUUUAUGUGGACCCAACAGGUAUGUUUACGAAUCUCUUGGCUUCAUUUAUCCAUUAUUUUGAUUUGAUGUGUGUCGUUUAGUUGCUACCAAAGUAAUAUGCCAUAUUCAUACUACAUUUGUAUGAAGGAAACCUCUUUACUCCUAUUACGGUCAAGACGUGGGAGCUUCAGUUUUAACACCAUAAGAGUUUCUAAUAUUUAGGGCACAUGAUGUGGAAUAUGGUGUAUGAAAUGCACAUAUGGGUUGUAAAAAAUAAACAUGCAUAUAUUUUAUAUAUUAACUUAUGUUCUUUCAUGACAUCCACACUUUGUAGUAGUAAUGUGUGUAAAAAUAAUUUGUUUUAACAUUCAUUAGUUUGAAUCUGCCAUGAUAUAUUAACUCUUCUGCAGGCGUGCAAUGCUCAUGGCCUCAACUGUGUCCUUUUUUGGUAAAUUAUUUGUAGUAAACUGCUUCGAUAUUAAUUAUAUAACCUGAGAUGAUGUAUGUCUUUUUACAUAGUAAUAAAUUUGAAUCAAAGUAAGAUGCUUCGCCUGAGCACCUAGGCGCAAGAAGCGAGCGCCUUUAAUAACUAUGGGUUUAAUAGCGAGCGCCUUUAAUAACUAUGCGUUUGUACAGAAUUGGCCUGAGAGAGUUUGAUCUUUUUGGAUUAACGAAGUCUCCAACCCAUUUAAUGACAGUGAUCACACGCUCUUUAUGAUAGGAGGCCAAACAAAGUAAGAGGUACUGACGUAGACAUAUUGUCGCCAAAUUGAGAAGAGUUAAAAGGUGAGUUCUAUUGAUUUUUCCCUUUUACUUUUUUGGUUAGAAUACAUUACCACCGAUGGGUAUGCCGUUCGAACCUCAAUUUCACACACCAUUCUAAGCCACAACCGACCACCACUCAUCUUGGAAAGGGUCGAUGCAAUGGACUACUACAUGAUAUAUCUGUAGUUAGUUAGCUUACCGAAUUCAGUUAGUUUGUGGACUUUAGGAAUCUGUUUUUUCACUGUUAGAUUACAUGUCUUAGAUCAUGGACAUUUUGUCAAAUAUCUUUCCCGAUAAUUAACUUAAUAUUAUAAAUUCAGUAUAUCAAGAAUAUGCAGGUGCUGGAACUGUGUGUAUAUGGAACAAAAUAGCUAUUCCCAAAGUGAAUUAUUUUGCUUGACAGGCGAUAAGUGGGAAAUCCCAAUGCCAGAUGCAUUGGUAGCCAUAGGUGUCCCAAACAUUAAUCAACUUUCCCUUAAGAAAACCAUAAAUCUCUACCAGACAAACUCUUAUCAUCCAGGUAUGUUUCAUCCGAUCUUUGAUGAUAUAAUCCUAAAAUCAUUUGAUUUUUUGCUAUAAACAAAGGAUUUGAUGAUGAUUAUAAACGUUUCAAUCUCCUUCGUAUAAUUUGUUUAACUUGAAACUAACUUGGUGCUUUUGAAUAUUUUAUACACCUAAUUCCAUUGGAGUUAAUAUAUUAAUUUUCUUAUGUUAAAUUUUGUUAUCAUCUGUUUAAUUUUUAGAUUAGGGUUCAUAGGGUUGUUGUUGUUAAUACAUCAACAUUGGCUAACUUCAACUUUUAAUAUCACACACUACUGCUUCAAAAAUCUAGACUUAUUAGUUAUACAUUGAACUUACAAGGGCUUACCAAUUAAGAUUGAACCUUUUGCUAUUCUUUUAAGUGUUGCAGGUCUAACACAGAGGUAUAUAUCAUCUGUCAAGCAUUAAUCAUAUUUUCACUCUUUUUGUAAGUUUGUGAGCAUAUUGGUCCGUUGUAACGCAUUUUUAGGAGCUUCUACAAGCCAUGUUGCGGUGUCCUAGCUAUGAAGUUAAUUAUACAACGUGUCGGAGUGGGUUCGAACACCCUGUCCGUUUGCUGUAGGUACAGUAUUGCGGUGUAUAUGUAUUUUGUGUCGUUUUUUAAAUGGGUGAUUUUCGAGUGUUAUGUGCCUUAUGUCCAAGGCUUGAUGCAAAACUACUAUCGAGUCGGGGGUCUCACUGGAAGUAGCCUCUCUAUUUCUACGUGGUAGAGGUAACACUGUCUACAUCUUACCCUCCUCAGACCCUACAUUUGCUUUGCUAUUGGUGAGAUUUACUGAGUAUGAUGAUGAUGAUUUAAAUGGGUGAUUUUCCAAAAGGGUGUUGUGGGAAAAAAAUAUAUUAAAAUGGGUGAUUUGAAAAUAUUUAGCAAAAUAGGUAUUUUUAUUAUCAAAAUAGAUAUUUUUAUUUAUUAAAAUAGGUGUUUUGAAAAUAUUUUUUGUUUUAAUAUUAUUUCGUUCGCCUGUAAAAAAAGGAAGAUAACUUUGCUUCAAGAAGUGGGCCAAGUUCUAGAUGCAAAGAUUGACUAGAAUGCAUUGGCCAAACAAAAACAAGGGAAAACUAUAUGUUGUGGCGCCAUUUGGAAAACGACGUCAAACCUACUAAUAAAACGACAAGUGUAGUUUAUAAAGAAGUAUAGUGAUUUGUGAUUUUCAUGUACUCAUUUAUCUAUAAUUUUUUAUUUCAGUAUCAUUUUUAUAUGUUGUAAUAAUGUUCUUAUUAUUCCAUCUAAGACUACAUCUUCACAGGUUAUCGCUACUUGUCAUGCAAUUAUCUUUUUUUAACUCGAGUCGUUACGUUACAAGGAAGGGAAAAUUUACUUGAUUCGAACUAUGUUUAUUCUUUAUAAAAAAUGGAAACAAAGAAGGUCACGUAUGUUGAUAACUCUGUUUUUGAUUCUUCGGUGACCGAUUGGAAGCUUGACGUGGAGAAAAAAAAACAAUCGAGCUAGCAGGAACGGUUACAACCUUCGAGACGGUGUUUUGGCCGAGGUUGAAAAAGAUCUUACGGCUGAAGAAACCAAUGAAGAAAAGAAGCACAAGCUUGCCAAAAUCGGAACAUCAAUGCUCGAGAAUCCUAUCCUGAAGGCAAUAUUAAACACUUAAAAGAAAUGCUGCAAAUUUGCAAGAAUGGAGAUCGUUACAUGUUAGACCUUGGUCUAAAGUCUAUACUAGCUGUUUUCAAGGAUAUCCUCCCUGGGUAUAUUAUAUAAAUAUUUACUCAUGUUAAUACUAUUUUCAUACAUCUAUGUUAUUUAAAUGUAUAUUGUUUGUCGUUACGAGAACAACACCAUGAUAUAUAGUUUUGAUAUCUAUUUUCUUUCCUUGAA